ACUGCCCUUUCCUCCUUCCCCCUCCUCACCCUCAGGUUUUACCUCAGGGACCAGGGUGGAUGCAGCAGCCAAAUAUCCCAGGCUAUCAAGUCUCUGUGAGCAUCGCCCACCUCGUUUUCUAAUUCAGUUAUUUCUGAGAGAGGAAAAGAUGUUAUAAGGACCCAAAGAGAACUUGAUUACACAUAAGAUUUUAGAGUAGCUGCAGAAUAAAAUAUAAAGGAGAAUGGAGUAAGUUCAAGCGACUGGUAGUUCUCAACUACUGCAGACACUAAGCCUCAAAUUUGAAUGAAAAUGUAUUGAGGGACAAACGCAGAUUUUUUCCUUUCUCAACUGAUAUGGAAACACUUGCCAGUGGUUCCCGGUGCGGUCCCCAGCGGCCAUUCAGGAGAGGCCGUGUCGCAACAGCUCUUUUUUGCGCAGACAAAGCCUCCUUGUAAGUCCCUCUGCUGUCCCCGAAUAACCACUCUGGGAACAAGAAAAAUCGAGCUGCUGCUCCCCAUCAGGCAGCCAGACAAUAGCGGCGGGAGGGGCUCCACGCCACGGCGCAAAACGCCAACAUCUUUGUUGCCACCGCGUCCUUAGCAUGAAGCCUCCAAAUGUCAUUAGUAACAAGGAGGGGGGUGGGGAGGAGGAGAAAACAACUCCCACCCGCGGCGGCUCCUCGGGAAGCGGCUGGGCCGACGUGCAGACUGCGCGCCUACCAGCCUCCCUCGCGCGGAAGAGGCAGCGCAGGGCACCUGGGGCUCUGGUCCCGCACCCCCGGCGCGGCUCCUAGGGCCCCGCGGCCUCGGCGGGAAGUAGCGCCGUCUGUGCGCGGAGGGAAACGCGUGGUGAAAUGCCGGCACGCACAGCCGCGCGGUGACGCCUCCGCAGGAGGGGCGGCGGCGGUAGCUGCCACAGGCCUUCAGCGCCCCAGCAGCGCGGGCAGCUCGCGGCUCCUCUGGGUCGGCGUGGCCCUGCUUCUGCCCGGCCAGAGCCUGCAGGCCCGGAGGCGGGCGACUGGGCCCCGACUGCCGCGGGUCCGCGGCUCCGGCGUCGAGCGUGCCCCGGCAGGUCCUGCGCCUGAAGGGGGUGGUGUGUCCACAGCCCGGGCUGUUUGGCCGCAGUCUGUGAGUGGCCAGGCCCCGGCCGCCCCCUCAAGCUUGGUAACAGUUGCCGGGGGUCGGUCGGGUUCCGGACACUGGCGUGCGUAGCAGCCAGGCCGACCGACUGACGGGAGUCGCCCACUGGCCCCUUCCCAACCACCACCCCCCGGCGCCCGAGCCUCGGGCUCCUCUGCUGUGAAGCGGGAUGGUUGUGCGGAUUCCAAGUGAGAGAAAGCAGGAUGAUUCAGCCAAUGAGAAUUUGAAUGCUGGUGGAAAACUGCAGAAAAUCCAGAAACCAACUGGAGAGGACUAAAAUAAAAAUGUGAACUGACUGGAAGGAUACUUGGCUAUCUCUCAUGGAAUCCAAGGGAGAGUGGAAUGACCACACCUUCCUUAGGGAGAACUCAAGGCAGUUCCCAGGACCUCAGAGGCUGAAAUCCACUAGUUCCUCCAAAGGACUACCAUUAACGACUCAGCUACCAAUUCCCAACCACUGUCUCUCUGUGUUAAAUCCAAAGUUCCUGGGAGAGUCUGAUACACCACACACACACACACACACAUACACAAAAUAUGUUUAAGUGCAAGCAGUUUAAUAAACUGAAAAAUCCUAUUACCAUG